CAGUUCACCUCAUUCCACUCAGUCCUUUGUUUCUGAUUGGUCUGGGGUUGCCAUUGCCUCUGAUAGUUUCUUCCAAAGGUAAAAUAAGAGCAAAACAAAAUGAACAAGCAAAAAGGAAAAGGAAACAGAAUCUCAGUGGAGUUGUGCCAUCCACAGGGCAAUGAGAACUGAUUUUUUUUCACUAACAGGGAUGGUUGAAAUCUGCUGCUGUGCAAAUGCAGUUAUUGAGAAGGCACAGACUGGGCUCUGGCAGAGAGCAGAGUGUGAGCAAAUAUGAUGGUGCUCGCCUCUGAACAGAGGCUUUACACGUGCUUUCGAGCUUCUGCCCUCGUGUGUGAACAACACGGCCAGCUAGUGGCUGCUGUCUGAAUUUGCGUCCCAGAAUGAGAAGCAAAGUGAGGCUGGCUGGAUCUUGACCUGGUAUCCACAAAGGCCUUCAGACUCGUAAGGGAGAAAUUAAGGUUUGUUGUUGCAAGGCACUGAGAUUUGGGUUUGUAUUUUACUGCGGCAAAGGCUCCCUAACACAGGGCCCGUGGCUUCCUCAGAUUCAGAGAUGGAAUCAUAAAACCUCAGAAUUAGGCAGGAGUCUUGCUGAUGGCAUUUGAUUUCCUAAAUCUCCAUCAUCCCACCCUGGCGUUGGCCACUCUCUAUCUCCAGAAUAAUGGGAGACUUCAGGAGAGACAUUUGUUCCCCUCUGCGCUGUGUACUUCUUCCCACAGAGGACACUGAUUUAAAGGAAGCAGCUCCAAAAACAGAAUGGAUAAUAGAGAGGUGACAUCAUCAUUAAUUGGAACAGGAUUGGAAUGGACACAAAAGACUCUACUAGCUGAGACCCCCACUGAUCGUUGGAAACGAAGGAGACGUGACCUG
rnacentral:lncRNA from 1 species